GCCGGGUACGGUGGCAUGUGCCUGUAAUCCAAGUCACUGGGAGGCUGAGGUUGGUGGAUCAAGUGAGCUGAGGAGCUCUGGGCUGCAGCACACUAUGUUGAACGGGUGUCCACGCUAAGUUCUGUAUCGAUAUGGUGUUCCAGGGGGAGCCCGGGACCACCAGGUUGUCUAAGGAGGGGUGAACCGGCCCAGGUCGGAAACGAAGCAGGUCAAAUCCCCCGUGCUGUCCAGUAGUUGGAUAAUACCUGUGAGUAGAUGCUGCAGUGCAGCCUUGGCAAAACAUCGAGACCUAAUUUUUU
rnacentral:SRP_RNA from 1 species